GGGUCUAUGAUGACAAACCUAUGUCAUGAAGAAAGAUGGUGACAUAAAAAUCAUGGCCAACGAAUGAUGCUAACUUCC